GACGAACGCUGGCGGCGUGCUUAACACAUGCCAGUCGAACGGAAAGGCCCUGCUUUUGUGGGGUGCUCGAGUGGCGAACGGGUGAGUAACACGUGAGUAACCUGCCCUUGACUUUGGGAUAACUUCAGGAAACUGGGGCUAAUACCGGAUAGGAGCUCCUGCUGCAUGGUGGGGGUUGGAAAGUUUCGGCGGUUGGGGAUGGACUCGCGGCUUAUCAGCUUGUUGGUGGGGUAGUGGCUUACCAAGGCUUUGACGGGUAGCCGGCCUGAGAGGGUGACCGGGCACAGUGGGACUGAGAUACGGCCCAGAGGACUACGGGAGGCAGCAGUGGGGAAUAUUGCACAAUGGGCGGAAGCCUGAUGCAGCAACGCCGCGUGCGGGAUGACGGCCUUCGGGUUGUAAACCGCUUUCGCCGGUGACGAAGCGUGAGUGACGGUAAUGGGUAAAGAAGCACCGGCUAACUACGUG
rnacentral:rRNA from 1 species